rnacentral:rRNA from 1 species
CCUACGGGAGGCAGCAGUGGGGAAUAUUGGGCAAUGGGCGCAAGCCUGACCCAGCAACGCCGCGUGAAGGAAGAAUGCUUUCGGGUUGUUAACUUCUUUUCUCAGGGACGAAGAAAGUGACGGUACCUGAGGAAUAAGCCACGGCUAACUACGUGCCAGCAGCCCCGGUAAUACGUAGGUGGCAAGAGUUCUCCGGAUUUAUUGGGUGUAAAGGUCGUUUAGGCGGGAGCGCAAGUUAGAUGGGAAAACUCAGGGCUCAACCCUGAGCCUGCAUUUGAAACUGUGUUUCUUGAGUGCUGGAGAGGCAAUCGGAAUUCCGUGUGUAGCGGUGAAAUGCGUAGAUAUACGGAGGAACACCAGUGGCGAAGGCGGAUUGCUGGACAGUAACUGACGCUGAGGCGCGAAAGCGUGGGGAGCAAACAGGAUUAGAUACCCUUGUAGUC